AUUGAACGCUGGCGGCAGGCCUAACACAUGCAAGUCGAGCGAGCGGCGGACGGGUGAGUAAUGUCUGGGAAACUGCGUGAUGGAGGGGGAUAAAUACUGGAAACGGGAGCUAAUACCGCAUACCAUCAGAUGUGCGCCGAUGGGGUUGGCUAGUAGGUGGGGUAACGGCUCACUUUGGCGACGAUCCCUCGCUGGUCUGAGAGGAUGACCAGCCACACUGGAACUGAGACACGGUCCAGACUCCUACGGGAGGCAGCAGUGGGGAAUAUUGCACAAUGGGCGCAAGCCUGAUGCAGCCAUGCCGCGUGUGUGAAGAAGGCCUUCGGGUUGUAAAGCACUUUCAGCGGGGAGGCGUUACCCGCAGAAGAAGCACCGGCUAACUCCGUGCCAGCCGCCGCGGUAAUAC
rnacentral:rRNA from 1 species